rnacentral:rRNA from 1 species
GACGAACGCUGGCGGCGUGCUUAACACAUGCAAGUCGAACGAAGUGGCGGACGGGUGAGUAACGCGUAAUCAACCUGCCCUUCAGAGGGGGACAACAGUUGGAAACGACUGCAAUACCGCAUACUGAAGGAGGGGCUUGCGUGUGAUUAGCUUGUUGGUGGGGUAAAGGCCUACCAAGGCGACGAUCCGUAGCUGGUCUGAGAGGAUGAUCAGUCACACUGGAACUGAGACACGGUCCAGACUCCUACGGGAGGCAGCAGUGGGGAAUAUUGGACAAUGGGCGAAAGCCUGAUCCAGCCAUGCCGCGUGUGUGAAGAAGGUCUUCGGGUUGUAAAGUACUUUAAGUUGGGAGGCGUUACCAGCAGAAGAAGCACCGGCUAACUUCGUGCCAGCAGCCGCGGUAAUUC